UGCCAAGAAGGACAACCAAGGAAUCACAAAAGGGAAUCAGAUGGCGCAUUCAUAUGUUGCCUCCUUUUGUCCCAUGUGCCUCAUUCUCCAAGAAAGUGAACAUGUGCCUUCCACACACAAUAAAACCAUGCUCUCUCUCCUACCAUGCAGCAAAGAAACGUUCUCUCUCCCUACCAAAACUAAAUUGCCGAACUCACUCCUCUUCCAAGGUUAAAAAAAACGUUGCCUUCCAUAUUCCACACUCCAAAAGGUUCUAUAAUCUCUUCUACCAAGGUGCC
rnacentral:lncRNA from 1 species